rfam:Schistosoma mansoni strain Puerto Rico chromosome 2, complete genome
AUCCAACUGACGAGUCCCAAAUAGGACGGAACACGCGUCAGACUGGAU